UAUGUCUAUUGUACAUAAAUAAAAACAUUAGACCAACAAAACUUUUACACAUUUAAACACAUUUUUCUAGGGGUUCGCAAUUUAUAAUGAACUGCCCACAUAUUUUCACUAAUACAUAUACUAGCUGAUCAUCCUAGAGGGGAUAAUUUUUAAAACUUAAUACAUCAACUAUUGAUCAACUAUUUGUCCAGUGAUAAGGAAAAAUAUAGUGUAUUUAUUAAUUCUGCAUGAAUAUUACCUCCAAACAUUACAGUCAGAAUCAGAAUUACAGAAUUACAAGUACUGUACUUGGUGACAGAGAAAAUAAUGUACACAUAACAUUAGAAGAUAGUAAGAUGUACAAAAUAUAUACAAGGUAAAAACACAAAUAGAAAUGAGCAAGAACCUGGAGGUACUGUACUUGUUUUUGCUUUGUCUCUUUAAAUGAUGAAUCUCUUGUAGCAGUUAUGUCUUUGGGCUUCCUGAAGAUAUUCAUUUGUAUUUCAGUCUGGUCAGUUUUGAGUGGCAUCACAUGAGUCUUGUUUGUGGGUUGCAGAAAAGCACUUUAUCAGUAAAGAAUUUACUAAGAAAAGAGGUCAUGUUAAAUCUUGCAAUAGGUAUUAAAUAUUUUCUAUUACAUUUAGAGAGAUUUGAAUUUUAUCUAUAGGAAUAAUCCAUGUAUGUUCUGAACAGGCAGGAACAUUAUUAACACACCUUACCUUUUACUUCCCAAGCAUGUAGUACAAAAAAGAAAAAUAUGAAAAAACAGUAACUGCAUGGGCAUUAUAAGAAUUACAUAUCUUAUCUGGAACUACAGGCCAUUAAAUGUUAACAUAUUGUAGUUAUUAAUCUUAAUAUCUCUUCUGCCACUAUCAAAGAAAAGUAAUUUCUAGCAAGCUAAGAGAUAUUUUCUCUGAAAUAGAUAGGUCAGCAUAAUUUCAUUAAAGAGUUAACACUAAUUAAACAUUAACAUAAUUAAAAAUGAAAUAAUUAUUUAAUAAUUUGUUUAAAACUUUUGUCACAUUUGAAAGGGGAAACUAUAGUACAACAAAUGACUGUGGGCUGCUAAGAACAUAGAACACCUUGUCUUCCUUAUGAAUAAAUUUUUUCCUUCUUUGACAUCUGGGGUUAAUUGUGGAUAUUUUUUUCAAGCUCAUCACUUGCUAGUAAACCAUUUAGUUAAAUGCCUAUAUGGAAACACUGCAAUUUAACAGCUGGAUGAGUUCAAAUACAGGCCACAUAAAAUAACAUUAAUUAGAGAGAAAAAAAUGGCAGCCUUGUACAACAAACACACCUUAAAUCAGAACACUUGAAAAUUAGUACAGAAAUGGCAAUAAAUUAGUAGUUUUACAAAUUUUGGGUAAUUCUGAUGUUAAAGUUGAUCACAGGGCCGUAGGAUCUAAGUUUAUUUGGGGUGUUUUUGGCAAAAAGGUAUUGGCAGUGACAUAAAUUUUGUGUUUUUUGUGUAUGUUUGCUGCUUAAGCAGUUGUGGUGUUCAUUCACAUUGUUUUUAGAUUAUUAUGCAGAGUGAUCAGAUGCAUUUGAAAUAAUUGCAAAAAUCUUUAUUGGCCAAAAAAAGGAACUUUCACUGGUUUUGGCCCUAUCAUAAAAUAACCAGCUAAUACCAUUUCUCUAAUCAUAUCAUCUGCACAUGUGAAAGUGUCAAGUACUAGUCAGGUGAAAUCACCAUCAUACUGAUUGGAUUUUAAGAGCAGACUGAUUACUAUAAAUGGCAUUUUGUUCUUGUUGGUUACCUCCAAAAAAGGUACCAUUGCUUUUGCAUCAAAAUGUCCUCACAUGCAAGGAAAUUGCUAAAAAGAAUAUAGUACUGUACCUGAAGCAACUGUUUACUGGAUCAUCAAAAUCCAAAUAUCAAAAGAGUGGUUCAACUGCAAUGAAGAAGGUGUCGGGAUGUCACAGACCGUCAGGCCCGUCUCCUAUUGAGGAGUACGCUACAGAAUUGUGUCACCACUGUACUAGUAUAGAGCUUCCUCAGGAAUGGCAGCGGGUGUGUGUGAGUGCAUCUGCACCCUUGAGACGAAGACUUUUGAACAACGGCCUGGUGUCAAGAAGGGCAGCAAAGUAGCCACUUCUUUCCCAAAAAAAGAUCAAGGACAGAAUAAAAUUCUUCAGAAAGGACAAAGACUGGACAGCAGAAGACUGGUGCAAGGUUAUUUUCCCUGAUGGAGCUCCCUUCCGAUUGAUUGGGAAAUCUGGAAAAUCGAUUGUCCGGAGAAGAAAAGGUGAACACUGAGUCCUGUGUUGUGGCAACACUGAAGCAUCCUGAGACCAUCAAUAUGUGGGGUUGCUUUUUAACCGAGGGAGUGGGAUCACUCACAUUUCUGCCCAAAACCACUGCCAGGAAUAAAGAAUGGUGUCAAAACAUCCUGCAAGAGCAACUUCUCCCAACAAUCCAGGAGCAAUUUGUUGAUGAUCCGUGCAAGAGUGAUAAUGAAGUGGGUCAAAGAUCAUUACAUUGGAAUUUUGGAUCCAUGGCCAGGCAACUUCCCGGAUCUCAAUCCCAUAGAGAACCUGUGUUCAGUCCUCAAACAGCAAGUGGACAAGCCCACAAAUUGUGAUCAGCUGCGAGCACAAUAAGGCAAGAAUUGAUCCCCAUUAGUCAGGAUUUGUCUCAGAAGCUAAUAUCCAGCAUGCAAGAGUGAAUUUCAAAUGUUCUGAAGAACCAGAGUCGACACCAUAAAAAUUGACUGUUUGCAUAUAUUGCAAAGCUUUUCAAUAUAUGCGAAGCUCUUCAUUUUAACAACAUCUAAAUGUCCUUCAUGUAGGGCAGAAAGUACCCUGGCACAUAGCUUGGGUGGCACAAUCACUCCGGUACCUCACAUGACAUAUCCUAGUGUUACCGAAAGCUGUUCACAACGGUUGAUCACCUUUAGCUGGCCAGCCCUUCAUGGUUAGAUCAAACACCUAGGCCAAUACAGGAUCUCGAUUUGUCUCCCUUCGAAUGUGCGCACUCGUGACAGGCAGAGGUUUCAUUUGAGUGAUGUGAAACAUAUCUGUGUCAUCCUUAACCUCCUCUGGCUGACCCUGUGGAAGGUGCGACAAUCCAUUUAUGCCUUUGAACUCAAGUGCAUAGUCAUCCUGACCACCAAGGAAUAACCUCCAACGCUGUAGUCGAGCCACUGCCAUCACUAGAACACUUUUACUAAGGCUAAAAAUAGCCACUAAAGGCUGAUGAUCGAUAAUGAGAGUGAAGUGUUUCUUAUAGAGGUACUGAUUAAACUUCUUCACUCCCCAUAUCAAGCUUAAAGCCUCUCGAUCAAUCUGUGCAUAGUCGCCUUCCGCAACAGUCAAAGACCUAGAUGCAAAUGCGAUUGGUCUCUCAGAUCUGUCAGUCAUUUUGUGAGACAAUACGGCACCUAUACCAUAAGGUGAAGCAUCACACACCAGUUUGUCUUUUAAGCAGCAUAUAGAAUGUCUAGCAAAAAAACUUUUUUUGUUGGGUUUCUAUUAUAGAAAUAAAGGCUGUUUUUCUUUUAGUGCGAGAAAAACACUUAUACAAGUAACAUUUUUGUCUAUGCUUGAUUAUGGUGAUAUUUUAUAUAUGCAUGCCAAUCAAUCUUCUCUGAAAAUGCUGGACUCAGUAUACAAUGUAGCACUAAGAUAUGUAGCUUUCGUACUCAUUACUGUAAGUUGUUUGAGAGUGUUAGUUGGCCUUCUUUGCAUAAUCGCAGGUGGGAGCAUUGGUAUAUUUUUCUUUAUAAGGCCAUACUGUGUAAACUGCCUUCUUAUUUUUAUUUUUAUUUUUUAUGUUCUCUCCUGAUUCCUAAAGUCACUGCUGGGAAAUGUAAUCUUAGAUUAAAUGGUCAAAUCAUGAAUGACAUUCCCCGAACACGAACUGUCUUCGGUGAAAGUGCCUUUAAAUUUUUUGCUCCAUCAUCCUAUAAACUGCAGAAACAUUUUAAAUUAGACUAUUUACCAACAUUGAUGCAGUUUAAAAUUAGGAUAAAGGAUUACUUGAGUACUUUAGUUAUGCUGUCAUAGCUAGUCUUGCAUGGGUGUCCCUGUAUUUUGCGCAUUGUCCAUCACCUGAUUACAAUCAUAAUCCUAACAAUUUUCUCCUCUCUCUCUCUCUCUCUCUCUCUCUCUCUCUCUCUCUCUCUCUCUCUCUCUCUCUCUCUCUCUCUCUCUCUCUUUCUCUCCCUCGCCAUAUAUUUCCCUCGUCACUUCUUCGGGAAAACCGAAAGGCCAGUUGGCACACCAAUUUAAAACUAUGCCCAGAGUAUCAGCCUUAAGAAGCUGGCCUAGUUAUAAAUCUCUAAAUUGGUGUCUAGGGCAAAAAAAGAGUCAGCAGACUACCAUGUCAGAGACACAGAUUUGAGCCAUUGUAGGAAAAACUCAUCUCCAACCUACAUUGGCCCAGGCUAGCUCCUGCAAUCUGACUAUAAUGUAAAACAAUAAUUCUAAGUUGAAGUUCAAAGAAGAAAUGUUCAGCCAUGAAGAAAUGAUCAACUCGUGAAGACUGGAUUCAGUUGAGGCCAAUACCCAUGCCAUGAGGCUUGUAGGCUCAUUCCUACAUCAACAGGCGAUGGUGUCUAUACAAUUUGGAGAGUCAUGGUCUACUAAUUGACUCUUCUGCUGCUGAGAGAGUUGAUGUCUCCACCCAGGCUCCUACUCAGGCUACUCAAACUCCUUUCCUUUCAUCCUCAUCCACAAGCACACAAGCACACAAGCUAUUCAAGCUCCAUGGCAUGUUAACAGAAAAAGUCAACAUCUUGGGCGAUGUGCUGUUAAACCUCAUUGCAUAAAGAAGAAAUGAUUUUGAUACAUUAUUC